AUGACGAAGCAGGGACUCCAGGACGGUGCCUCCAGAAGGGCACGACUAUGGGUAGCCGCCACCGUCCGAUCUCGAAGAUCAAGUUUUCACCUGGAGCAUCACGAAGGAGUGGGAACACCGCGACGGAGCCUUCAUGAAGGAUAUGGCGUCCACGGACGUCGCCACCGUCGGCCCUUGAGCGAGUGGUGUACCCCGGCGCUCACACCCCUCCAACGCACCCUACCUCCGCCAACCACCCGCAACCAAACCACCCGCGUGGCCAUGGCUGCACACCCGCACCUGAGACGCAUGCUCCGCCCACGAACGUCGCGUCUCCCACCGCCAAGGCCGCCACCCUGCAUCCAGACAACCCCAAGACCAGACAAAGUCACCGGCUUUGGCCCAAAGGACGCACCCGACCGCCAAACCGCAGCAUACGUCCCGCCUCGAACAACGCCGGAGCUACAUCAGCCCGCACCCGGCCGGGGAAAGGGGGAGGAGGGGGAGCGGACGCAUCCAGGACCGGCACACCCCCGUGCCGGUGACGGGUGGCCCGAACUCUCGUCGGCGCCUCCCAUCCCUCCAGCCUACCUCCCCACCGGACACCCCCUGUGUCGCCCCACCUCGACAGCCGGCGCAGCUCCACGCGAGGCCACCAACACACACCCGACCGCUGGCAAGGAAAACCCCAAGGUCCGCUGCCGACCACCAAGAAAGCUCACAGGGAAGCCCAUCCGCGCUGCCCGCUGCCGCCCAACCACCGGAGCACCUGGAGCCGGCGAGCCGGCCCACCGACCUGCCGCUGCUGCGACGCUGCAGCCCGUGCCGCCCUUGGCCCGCGUCGCCCGGCCCAGAUCCAGCCGCGCCCGUCAGGCCACAGAUCUGGCCGCGCCGUCGCCGAUCUCGGAGAGCCGAGCACGCACCAUCACCUGGCCGCCCGCCGCGGGGGAGCAGAGGCACCGGAGCUUCGCCUCUGCCCGCUGCACCGCCGUGUCGCCCGGCACAGCUCCACGCUCCGACCCGAGGUGCCGGCCCGUGCCAGCACCGCCCGAACAGGAGGACGACGAGGCCCCGCCGCCGCCGGCGACGGCUGGGCUUUGCCCAGCCGCGCCCACGGGCGGCGGCGAGGGAGGAGGAGGGGAGGGGGCGGAGACCGGCGGGAUUUAG
rnacentral:rRNA from 1 species